CGUCCUUGCUGCCACUUACAUCGGUACAUGGGUCCCCCACCCUCCCGUACCUGCUGAUCUCUGUCACCGACUCGCACUGCUUUCCUGACCCCAUCGUGCAGACCUCCUCAGCUCCUUCAAACCUUCAGCUCCUACAAUCUGCUUCCUGGGUCACGACACCCUGCUGUUCUUCAAACCUUUGGCCUCCAUGUUGAAUUUGAAGGUAACUGAGGAGCGAGCUGAACUUCCACCAUAAUCAUCAUCAUCAUCAUCAGUGAUCCUUCUGGUUGUUGCUGGAUGUAACAGCAACUCCAUGUGGAAGCUGAGCUUAUUCCAGUGGAGGUGCUGUUACCUGCAGAGACUAACCAAUUCAACGAUUGCUGCUGCGGAGCGGACAGGGGUUUGACCUGCAGGCAGCCGAGGGCUGGUGGGGCACAAGGUGAUGACCUAUGAAUUGACAGCCAGUGAUCUGAAGCAUCUGCCUGUCAGUUCUGUAGGCCACUGCUGCGUUUGUUCCUCUGAACAUGCACAGAUUUCAUUCCAAAAAGCUGCAAAAAAAAGAUGGUGAUUUGAAACUGACUGAUUUUAUAAUUUUUGUGAAUUUACAAUAAAGAAACAAUAAAAUUAAA